rnacentral:misc_RNA from 1 species
CUUCAAAUAGGCAGCCUGUCCUCGUCCUCGACGCACGUGAGGGCCGACUCCACUCCCUCUGCCCCCCUCCUGCUCGGCUGCUCCGCCUCUGCUGCGGCGUCGCAAUGUCCCAGUCCCAGAUCGAGGCGUACACACGCCGGGCGGGGGCGGCCGUGGCGCUCGCCGCGGCGUCCGCGCUCACGACGGGCUUCCCCGCGCUCGAACCGCGCGCGCAUGUCGUGCUGGCCCUGCACGCCAUCCUGCUGCUCGGCUGCGCUGCGGUGCUGCUCUCCCCGGCGCACGGAGACGGAGGCCCAGAGGCUGCCCGGGGGACGACGGUGCUGGGAUCGCUGCGGUGGCUCGGCUUCGCCGGGAUGGCGCUCAGCGCGCUCCACGUGGACGCGGAGGAGGCGCCGCGGGGCACGGUCAGAGAUCUCCUCCUCUUCCUCGUGUUCUUGGCAGGAGUUUGGGGAGUCUACCUGUCCAUGGUCAGGGGAAGGGGGGAAGGGGUGCCCCGGCCCCGCAACCGCGGCUGGCGGUGGAAGAAGAUGCUAACGGCGAGGAGGCCAACGCCAUGCCCAUGACGGGGGAUGCUCGCGUCGUUGUUGAUUCGAAGGUUUGAAAGGUGCAUGACUUUCUCUUUACCUACCUGGCUACCUUGAGUCGCUGAAGAUCAGUCGUGUCUUAUCAGACUUGGUGCUCCUACUAAAAACGUAUCAGGAAGGAAAUAGCCUCUGGCAUAUGGC